UGCUGUGGCGCAGUCGUUUGAACGUUGGACUAGGACUCAAGGGACCAGGGUUCGAUUCCCAGCUCGGCCA